rnacentral:rRNA from 1 species
ACAGAGGGUGCAAGCGUUAAUCGGAAUUACUGGGCGUAAAGCGUGCGUAGGCGGUUUCGUAAGUCGGGUGUGAAAGCCCCGGGCUCAACCUGGGAAUUGCAUUCGAGACUGCGAAGCUAGGGUGCGGAAGAGGGAAGCGGAAUUUCCGGUGUAGCGGUGAAAUGCGUAGAUAUCGGAAGGAACAUCAGUGGCGAAAGCGGCUUCCUGGUCCAGCGCCGACGCUCAGGCACGAAAGCGUGGGGAGCAAACAGGAUUAGAUACCCUGGUAGUCCACGCCAUAAACGAUGAGAACUAGACGUUGAGAGCAUCUGGCUCCCAGUGUCGCAGCUAACGCGAUAAGUUCUCCGCCUGGGGAGUACGGCCGCAAGGUUG